rnacentral:rRNA from 1 species
ACUGCGUUUGAAACUGAUUAUCUUGAGUGUAACAGAGGAGAGUGGAAUUCCUAGUGUAGUGGUGAAAUACGUAGAUAUUAGGAAGAACACCAGUGGCGAAGGCGACUCUCUGGGUUAACACUGACGCUGAGGUACGAAAGCUGGGGGAGCGAACGGGAUUAGAUACCCCGGUAGUCCCAGCCGUAAACGAUGGAUACUAGGUGUUGGAGGUUCGAAUCCUUCAGUGCCGGAGUUAACGCAUUAAGUAUCCCGCCUGGGGAUUACGAUCGCAAGAUUGAAACUCAAAGGAAUUGACGGGGGCCCGCACAAGCGGUGGAGCAUGUGGUUUAAUUCGAAGCAACGCGAGGAAACCUUACCGAGAAUUGACAUCCCGUGACCAUCUAUGAGAGUA